GCGUAAAGGGCUCGCAGGCGGUUUCUUAAGUCUGAUGUGAAAGCCCCCGCCUUAACCGGGGAGGGUCAUUGGAAACUGGGAAACUUGAGUGCCGAAGAGGAGAGUGGAAUUCCACGUGUAGCGGUGAAAUGCGUAGAGAUGUGGAGGAACACCAGUGGCGAAGGCGACUCUCUGGUCUGUUACUGACGCUGAGGAGCGAAAGCGUGGGGAGCGAACAGGAUUAGAUACCCUGGUAGUCCACGCCGUAAACGAUGACUGCUAACUGUUGGGAGGCUUCCGCUCCUUAUGGCUGCACCUAACGCUUU
rnacentral:rRNA from 2 species